rnacentral:rRNA from 1 species
GGCGUCGACCGGCGCACGGGUGAGUAACGCGUAUCCAACCUGCCCACCACUUGGGGAUAACCUUGCGAAAGUAAGACUAAUACCCAAUGAUAUCUCUAGAAGACAUCUGAAAGAGAUUAAAGAUUUAUCGGUGAUGGAUGGGGAUGCGUCUGAUUAGCUUGUUGGCGGGGUAACGGCCCACCAAGGCUACGAUCAGUAGGGGUUCUGAGAGGAAGGUCCCCCACAUUGGAACUGAGACACGGUCCAAACUCCUACGGGAGGCAGCAGUGAGGAAUAUUGGUCAAUGGACGAGAGUCUGAACCAGCCAAGUAGCGUGCAGGAAGACGGCCCUAUGGGUUGUAAACUGCUUUUAUAAGGGAAUAAAGUGAGUCUCGUGAGACUUUUUGCAUGUACCUUAUGAAUAAGGACCGGCUAAUUCCGUGCCAGCAGCCGCGGUAAUACGGAAGGUCCGGGCGUUAUCCGGAUUUAUUGGGUUUAAAGGGAGCGUAGGCCGGAGAUUAAGCGUGUUGUGAAAUGUAGAUGCUCAACAUCUGCACUGCAGCGCGAACUGGUUUCCUUGAGUACGCACAAAGUGGGCGGAAUUCGUGGUGUAGCGGUGAAAUGCUUAGAUAUCACGAAGAACUCCGAUU